CCAAAACGGUAUCAGAAGAUUAGGAUAUACAUAUUCACUUAGUGAUCCUAUUCUCAAUCAGACACAAUAUAGUGAUGAGUACACUUGGAAAUCACACUCUAAAGAAGAUUUGAUCAAAACUGAGACUUCAAGAGGAAUCAAGAGCCACAAAUCUCAUCUCAAUGAAAUAGACAAAUUAUUGAUCGCUUUAUUCGUACUCACUGUGACACUAACAAAAAGAAGAAAUGAAAAGGGAAAAUAGUACAAAUGAAGAAAAUCUGAAAAUCAAUGGAAGCACGAGGACAUUCCUAGUCAUUUUCUCAAUUAUCAAGGAAAAAUAAGAUGCAAAUAGCUUCAAGUAUGAUGUGAUAGUCAUGAAUUUGUGUCUUUUGCUCCGCUUUAUUUUUAAACAAUAAAAUUAAGGCUACAAAAUUUUCCCUGAACAUAGCUUUAGCUGUAUCCAAUAGUUUUUGAUACAAUGUUUUUUUCUUUUCCCUUUUGGAUACUUAAUUUGUAGUUUCAAUUUUGAUUUCUCCUGUGAACUAGGAAUUAUGUGGAAGAGAUUUCUUAAUGUCCCAUUAAUCAGAGACUUAAGAAAUCAUUUUAUUGCCUUAUCUCUUCUUUGAAUGAAUGAAAGUUUAAAAAUCUGCUUUUGGGAAAUCAAUUGCAGUUUUAUUUAAUGCCAUUAAUCAAGUAUAUGAUUAAUUUGUGUGUUACGUGAAUAUGAGAAAAAAAUUAUAGUUUAUUGUAUUUUUUAAUCCCUUAUAUCUUUAAUUGUAUACUUGAAUUGUUCAAUUCUGAAAGAAUAUUGGAACCUCCCACAAUAAAUAUAUUUUUAUCAAU
rnacentral:lncRNA from 1 species